GAUCCUGGCUCAGGAUGAACGCUGGCGGCGUGCCUAAUACAUGCAAGUCGAGCGAACGGACGAGAAGCUUGCUUCUCUGAUGUUAGCGGCGGACGGGUGAGUAACACGUGGAUAACCUACCUAUAAGACUGGGAUAACUUCGGGAAACCGGAGCUAAUACCGGAUAAUAUUUUGAACCGCAUGGUUCAAAAGUGAAAGACGGUCUUGCUGUCACUUAUAGAUGGAUCCGCGCUGCAUUAGCUAGUUGGUAAGGUAACGGCUUACCAAGGCAACGAUGCAUAGCCGACCUGAGAGGGUGAUCGGCCACACUGGAACUGAGACACGGUCCAGACUCCUACGGGAGGCAGCAGUAGGGAAUCUUCCGCAAUGGGCGAAAGCCUGACGGAGCAACGCCGCGUGAGUGAUGAAGGUCUUCGGAUCGUAAAACUCUGUUAUUAGGGAAGAACAUAUGUGUAAGUAACUGUGCACAUCUUGA
rnacentral:rRNA from 1 species